rnacentral:rRNA from 1 species
CGUAGGGUGCAAGCGUUAAUCGGAAUUACUGGGCGUAAAGCGUGCGCAGGCGGUUUUGUAAGUCUGUCGUGAAAUCCCCGGGCUCAGCCUGGGAAUUGCGAUGGAGACUGCAAGGCUAGAAUCUGGCAGAGGGGGGUAGAAUUCCACGUGUAGCAGUGAAAUGCGUAGAGAUGUGGAGGAACACCGAUGGCGAAGGCAGCCCCCUGGGUCAAGAUUGACGCUCAUGCACGAAAGCGUGGGGAGCAAACAGGAUUAGAUACCCUGGUAGUCCACGCCCUAAACGAUGUCUACUAGUUGUCGGGUUUUAAUUAACUUGGUAACGCAGCUAACGCGUGAAGUAGACCGCCUGGGGAGUACGGUCGCAAGAUUA